CCCAACAUGGUGGUCAUGGCUCCUUCCGAUGAAGCUGAACUGAUGCACAUGGUUGCUACAGCAGCAACUAUAGAUGACAGACCAAGCUGCUUCAGAUUUCCUAGGGGAAAUGGAAUUGGAGCCACUUUACCACUCAACAACAAAGGAACCCCACUUGAGGUGAGGAUAAGAGACUAGCAUGUAUUUCCUAAACUGAAUCUUAUCUCAAUAGUUAAGCCACCUAAUUGAAAUUGUUUUGGUCGUGUAGAUCGGAAAAGGCAGAAUUCUGAUGGAAGGCAGCAGAGUUGCUAUCUUGGGAUAUGGUUCUGUGGUUCAACAAUGCAGACAUGCCUCGGAAUUGCUUAAAGAAGUAGGCGUUAGUGUGACAGUUGCUGAUGCUAGGUUUUGCAAACCUUUGGAUACCGAUCUAAUCAGGCUACUGGCUAAAGAGCAUGAAAUACUGAUCACGGUGGAAGAGGGUUCUAUUGGUGGUUUUGGAUCACAUGUUUCUCAAUUCUUGAGCUUAUCCGGUAUUCUAGAUGGACCUCUAAAGGUAAACCUUCCUCCUUGGAGAAGUGGCUCUCUAUAUGAUUUUCAUUUUCAGACUAUUAUUCCCUUCAGAUAGGUCCCUAUUUUGUGCAUUUCUAACAAUAACCCCUUUUGGUUUUACCUGCAGUGGAGAGCAAUGAUGCUUCCUGACAGAUACAUUGAUCAUGGGUCACCCCAGGAUCAGGUUGAAGAAGCAGGGCUUUCAUCAAAGCACAUAGCGG
rnacentral:lncRNA from 1 species